GACGAACGCUGGCGGCGUGCUUAACACAUGCAAGUCGAACGGAAAGGCCCUGCUUUUGUUGGGUUCUCGAGUGGCGAACGGGUGAGUAACACGUGAGUAACCUGCCCUUGACUUUUGGAUAACUUCAGGAAACUGGGGCUAAUACCGGAUAUGAGCUCCUGCUGCAUGGUGUUGGUUGGUAAGUUUCGGCUGUUGGGGAUGUACUCGCUGCUUAUCAGCUUGUUGGUGGGGUAGUGGCUUACCAAGGCUUUGACGGGUAGCCGGCCUGAGAGGGUGACAGGCGACAAUGGGACUGAGAUACGGCCCAGAAUGGUACGGGAGGCAGCAGUGGGGAAUAUUGCACAAUGGGCGGAAGCCAGAUGAAGAAAAGCAGCGAGCGGGAUGAAGGCAUACGGGUUGUAAAAAGAUUUAGAAUGUGACGAAGAGUGAGUGACGGUAAUGGGUAAAGAAGCACCGGCUAACUACGUG
rnacentral:rRNA from 1 species